rnacentral:lncRNA from 1 species
AGGAUGCCAGAGGCAGCAGCCUGAGCUUUCUCCUGCUUGAAUGCAUCACCGGUACACCAGAGUUGCCAGUCUAACAGUAUUUUAAAGAGGAGUUUUGUUCUUCUGGAUUGUAGGUGGUGAUAAAAUGACACAGCAUGCUAAUCUCAUUGAGAGGACCUUUACUGUGAGAUCACUGUAAUGAGCAGUAUCCAUUUUCCUGAAAAUUGGAGGAUAGUGUUUGAAAGAACAUUGUAUCCCAGGCAGGCAUUAGAGAAUGUGCUGAGCUGGGCAGUUGUAGAGCACAUCUUUAAUCGCAGUGCUCAGGAGGCAGAGGCAGGCAGAUCUCUGCAUUCAAUGCCAGCCUAGUCUACAGAGUGAGUUCCAGGACAACCAAGGCUACACAGAGAAACCCUGUCUCAAAAAAAAAAAAAAAAAAAAAAACAACAAAAAAAGGGAGGGAGGGGGAAGGAAAGAAAAUAUGCUGAAUUAUAUUUAUACAUGAGUUAGAAGAUUGACUAGUGGGUCUAACACAGCAGUUGGCUACUUAGAAAAGAAGGGUUAUUUGUCCCAGCUCUUGUCCAUUUUGUCUCACUUCAUAUCCUUUAUGUGACUCAACUGUAUCAUUUCUGGGUCAUGUGUGGGUAUUAGAAUCAAAUUAAAAAUUCCAACUCAUACAUUAAAUUUAAGAAAUUAGUAAAAUAUCAGGUAAAUAGAAAAAUGGUAUUGGUAUUAACAUAAUAACAGUAAAAUCAUUUAUCUCCACAUUAAUUCUCAUUAAAUAAGUUGCAAGUUUUUUUUUAAAGAUUUAUUUAUUACAUUUAUAUAAGUACAUUAUAGCUGUCUUCAGACACACCAGAAGAGGGCAUCAGAUCUCACUACAGAUGGUUGUGAGCCACCAUGUGGUUGUCGGGAAUUGAACUCAGGACCGAUGAAAGAGCAGUCAGUGCUUUUAACCGCUAAGCCAUCUCUCCAGCCCAACCAAGUUGCAAGUUUUAAGGACAUUUGAAAAAUGUCAAUUUUAAUAAUGUGUCAGGAUAUAUCAAAUGUUUCUCCCUUCCUUCACAUUUGAUCAGCUGCUGAAUCAAUUAUAAACUGAGAAUUCUUUAUUUUAUUUUAUUUUUUUAUUGUUUAAAAAAAAUCUGGCUUUAGUUUUAUUUUCUAAGGUAAGGUCGAUCUCAUGUAGUUGAGGCUGGUCUUGAACUCGUGAUACUACUGUCUUCACCUCUGCUGCUUUGGGAUUGCAGUCAUGGGCACUUGGCUUGCAUUCUGGAAGAGAACUUUUAAAAACAUCUUGCAUACUUUUUAAGAAUCCAUCUCUUUCAUAGGCCUCUGCAGAGCUAGCUCUCUGGUACUAGUGACUUAGCUAGGUGUAAUGGCAUGUAGCACUUGGGAGGUAGAAGCAGGUGGAUCAGGAGUUCAAGACUCCAUGUAUCCCACCCCUUAAUAAGACAAAACACUCUCCAAUGUGUGAGUUAAUGUUAUUAUGUAUAUGCACAUGAUUAAAAGACAUUUCAGGUCUAUUGAUGUGACCUAAUCAUUAAAUUUAUUUGAAUUCCUGUUCUUACCAUUUAUUAGACACAGGAUUGGUAGUUAACAGAUGUGAACAUAAAAUGUACAUAUUGACUGUUAACUACUCUUUAUCAGUACUAGCUAGUACUAGUUCCAGUGCUAGUAGCCAGCAACAUUCCCUUUGUAUUUUUGAGUUUGCAGAACCUAACCUUUCCUCAGACCAUAGACUCUCAGAUCCUCUUACCUCAUCUCACUGAGGAGAGAACCUGCUUUUAGUAUCCAUUCAUUACUGACAAGCUCUAAGCACUCAGGCAUUUUCAUAGAUUUCUGAGGACGUGGUGUGGUUCUUGUUCAUUUCUGUAAGGGAUUGCUGCCCACUGUACCAGCCUCUAUGCCAAAUCCUUUCACCAUUGGGGUCUAAAAAUGUUACAGAAACACAGAUACAGACACAUACUCACCUACAUUUAUGCCUACACCUGCCUGACACGGGGCAAUUUAAGAAACAACACUAUUUCAUUUGAGAGAAAAUAUACUUUUAUUUACAUCUACACCUGCCUGACACGGGACAAUUUAAGAAGCAACACUGUUUCAUUUG